rnacentral:rRNA from 1 species
UACGAAGGGGGCUAGCGUUGUUCGGAAUUACUGGGCGUAAAGGGCGCGUAGGCGGCUCAUUUAGUCAGGCGUGAAAGCCCCGGGCUCAACCUGGGAACUGCAGUUGAUACUGUCCGACUAGAGUACGAGAGAGGGAGGUAGAAUUCCAUGUGUAGCGGUGAAAUGCGUAGAUAUAUGGAGGAAUACCAGUGGCGAAGGCGGCCUCCUGGCUCGAUACUGACGCUGAGGUGCGAAAGCGUGGGGAUCAAACAGG